rnacentral:tRNA from 1 species
GGUUUGUGGUUCAGUGGUAGAGUGCUAGCCUCGCAUGUGUGAGAUCCUGGGUUCGAUCCUCAGCACCA